UUUCACGUACCGCCUUUCUUAUUCCUUCUUUCUUCUUAUUCUUUAUUUCUUCUCUUUUUUCGCAACUUUUUUGUAUCUCCAUCGAUUGGCAAAUUGAUGAUCAGAUAUAAUGUUUAAGAUUUCUUCAUGAUAAAUUUAUUUCCCAACCUUUUUCAUCUCCAUCUAUGUAGAGAUUGAUGAAUAAAUCCAAUGUUCAAGCCAUGUCAGAUGUUUCGGAAGAGAUGGUUAAACCAAACGCAACUUCAAGUGUAAGUUUUAAACAACCCCUUUAGAUGAUGCUUUAUAAGGAUUAUAAUGUGCCCUUGAUAUGCAUAGGAAUGCCUCUUCUGCUAAGAUCACACCUCUCUUAGUAGGUCGGCUUUUAGGCAAUGACCUAGAUGCCCUUGAGAGGAACAUUGAUUUGUUGGUAAAAUAUGGCAGGAUUUAAGAUCAAAUGUGGAAGUACGGUGGAAUAUUAUUCGUCAUAGUUUCUUGCGAACAAAGGACAUGUCCAACCGCGUGUGUAGUACUGAUACUUUCUUGGAAGGCUUACUAUGCCGCAAUUCAAGAAUUUAAGCAUGGUUAGUGGAUUAUCUCAUUUUAAUACUUCAUGGUGCAUGCUUGGGAUCCAUUAUUAAAUCAAAUUAAGAGACGUUUGGGGCACUCUGAUACACCUAUUCUUUAUGGCAGUAUCUUUGUUAUGCAAAGUUGCAGCAUUGAGAACAUUUAAUUUGGAUAAAUUACAAUAUUGCAGAGAACGUGCAUCUACAUAAGCAACCUUGCUAAUUUCCCGACCAAAGAUACCAUUGACCAUUUCAGUACAGUAAUAAAGCUUUAUAAAUUAUGCUCAAUUAACUGUACAUAUACUUGUGAAAUUUCCAACUUUUAUUUGACGACUACAACCUUGGCCCAUUUUCAGGUAUAAAGAACAACGUGACAUGCUAUACAACUAAACAUUAAAUAUAGAUUAGGUUGCAUUUGCUUUAGAGGGUAUCAAUAAUGAUGUUCAAGAAACAAUAUUUUUUUUAUAGUUUUAUUCAGUUAUAAUGUUGAUUCUAUAGUUCUUUAUUGUUUGGAUAGAUUAGCUCCAUUAAUUAUGAAGACGAUCAAGGUUGUAAUUGGUUUAAGGGUAAUCAAAUAUAAGAUUUUGAUUUUAAA